AAAAAAAAAAAAAAAAGUAAGAUAAAAGAAUAAAAAAAUAUUAAUUUAACUCUCACACCUCUAACAUUUAUAUCAUUAACUUCCUGCUAUACAAAUAACAAAAAUGGAAGAACUCCAGUUUCACAACUAUACAAACAGACACCAAAAAAAAUAAUAAUAAUUUUUACUUGAACUAUAAUUCACCCGUAAGUCUAGCUCAAUCUGAACUUCACCUUUGGUAAAACAAAUAAGCCCUAUAUGCCUGGAUGUCACGACUCUGUGACAUCCCAAUAGUCUCAUUUCGAAUAAGAAUAAGAUUGCGAUUAGACAUACCAGACAUCAUGAAGAUUAGUAAUAAUAAUUAAAUUUAAGUACUUUAAGCAAAUGGUUUGAGCCCAACAAGUAAUUAUUACUAGCAAGUCGAGUCAUUACAGACUCAAUGUUGUGCAGUUCAUCGAUUUUAUACUUCCAAUUUUCACUCAGCUUCUUUUACUAGUAUAUAUAGAAAGAGAGAAAAGCCAAACAACUUUAUCAAACUUCAAAAGUUUAAGGACCAUAAUAAAAUUUGAAUCCAAGUUCCCUGCAAAAUAAGUACAAUAAUUAACAAAGUAGAAUCAAGGUAUUUUGUCACGCAUAAGCAAAUAUAAUUCUAUGAGUUUUAAGAACCAAAGUAGGACUAGAGAUUGAACACUCUAAUCAUGUAACAACCCCAGUGAUAAAUAAUCUUUUCAUACACAAAUCUAAUCCUUUACACUGAACCAAGAAACAAAAGAGUUCAGAGUAUAACUUAUGCAAGGUUGAAUCAAAUUUUCAACCAGUAUCAUUUAAACAAGCUCGUGGCACAUGAAAUUCGCAAAAUGUAAAAUUAUGCCGGUCUGGAGAUUAAUCUCUUGCACGAUCAUUAAUUUUUCACUAUACAAACUUGUACCAAGGUGCGAAUUUUAUAGCAUAGCCAUAAGAUAAUUAAAACUUCACAGGUCUAAAUGUUGGGUAGUUAAAGAACGAUUCAUGGCAAAGAUUCAUGGCAAAGUUCGGAUAGGCACUAAAUGGGCAAAGAUGUUCAAAGUUGUUCUAUGUAGAAUACCUCUGAUUGGAUACGGAUCACAUAGAGGUAUUCAUGGUGUAGUAUCCUUAUUUUAUUUUAUUUUUUUUUAUUUAUUUACUUAGUCGGUUGAUGAUGCAUGGGGGUGGUUUUGGAUGCCACGUGCACCCCCAUGCAUCAUUAUCUUGUGGCCUAUUUAGCUAUGAGAGACAGUGAGGGAUAUUGAUGUUUUGCAAUUCCUCUCUCUCUCUAGAUUGAAGUGGAGAGCUCGUGGAGGCCACAGUUGAGCUUGGAGCGACGUCAACUUCGCGCCGGCGAUCUGUUGGAGCGUGUGUGUGUCGUGGUAGUGCCGUUGGAGGCCGAGCGAGCAUGGAAAGUUCUUCUCCUAUCGACUUUUCACUGUUCUGGAUUAGCUUUUGAGGUGGGUUUAUUAUCGGAAUCCUACUCCUAUAAUAUUGUUCAUCGACAUGUUUCGUUAAUAUUACAAGUUGUUAUUGUUUAGCUCAAAUUCAUGAGUAGGUAUGUUUUAGACAUAUAAACUGAAUUGGGAGCAUGUUAUUAGUUGUUAUUAAUCAUACAUAUGGGACUUGGAUAAAACAUAGGAGAAAACCAGCGUUCGGAACCUGGCAUAUGUGGAAUUACCUGAUUUAGCCUUAGGGGCCGUUGUAUUUUUAUACAGUUGUUGUAUUCGGGUUGUGAGUACCCCAGGUAGUUUAGUUUACUGUUACACUCGUGCUGGGAUGCCGAGUUUAUUUUAUAGUCAUGUUUAGACUGUUCUGGACUAGUGGGUGCCGUCGUGGUUGACGGUGGACCCGGAUUUGAUCAUUUUGAGAUUUGAUUGUGCCGAGGGCACGUGGAUAGUGGUUAGUGGUUCAGUGAGACCUAUUGCUUGACUUAGCCUGUGAGGGCAGCCUGAGAUUGACAGUAAUCUCGUUGGGUCGCGCCCACGAGAGCCAUUCCGGAAUGAUGUUUCAGUGCGAUCGGUGUCGCAGUUUCUGUUAAAUAGUUAUGCGCCGGCCACUUGCGGGGUGGUGUACGGCAUAGCUGAUUACAGGCAGAGUGGGUCCGUUUGGACAGCUCAAAUGAGAUUUGUGGUGAAUCAGUUUGAAAUGCGAUUGGGUCAAGUGCAUAUUAGAUACAGUAGGAUAGUGUAGUGGCAUAUAGCUGUAGAUUUCUUUCCAGCUUUACUUUCCAGCCUUGUUUCCUACUGUAGUUUUAGUGGGUAAGCCGAUGAUGUUGAGGGCGGUACCCACUGAGGACUACUUGUUUUUACAGUAGUUCUCACGCCCAGUUGCUCCCUGUGUUUUGCAGAGCCUUCUGUUCCGGCGGCUGCAGCUUCUGAGACCGAUCGAGGGAAGGGUGUCGCGAGCUAGAGCCCAACCUGAUUAGUCGCCGUGCUAGAGGAUCCCCAGUUGCAGGUAGUAGAGUUUUAUUUUUCGAUUUUAUGUACAUACUGAUACUGAACUCGCUGGAGCGAGUGGUUUGUACUUUGUAUAGUAUGUGUACAUUUGAGAUGCUUUCUUUUUGGUUCUACCUGCUUAGUUCUUUACAGCUCUACGCUACUGUUUGUAGCAUUAUUUGUUUACAGAUACUGUGAUUGCUUCGUAUACAGAAAAAAUUUCUUGUAUACGGCGGAUCUAUUAGCGUGCCGGGAAAAGUGCUAUCCGGGGCGUGACAGAUUAAUUUGGUAUCAGAGCUUAGCUAUAGGUCGUUGGGACUUUGAAAACCUAAGUUUGGCAACAUUAGGAGGGCCCCAUACCAUGUAAAUUGUGAACUACAUCACACUCUUUGUUAUUCACCUACAAAAUUUAAUUAUUAGUAGUAUUCUAGCUUAGUUCUAAUAACAUAUAUACAUAUUAAUUGUUGAUUAUUCAUAUUUGUAUUCAAUUUUUCGGAUAUCCGAAUAAUUUUAAAUUCUUUGAAAACCAUAUCAGCAUCCGUAUUCAACUAGAUCCGGAUAUUAUUAAAUAUGCAUGUGGUAAGGUCGGAUAUUAUCUAAUUCAUUUUCGACGCUAGAGAUGCAAACGGAGUAGAUCUAGAGGCAGAAGAGUCCCCAUGUCCCGCUCUGCUUCUUGUCAAGUCGAGGUCGAUUUGAAGCGGUUUAACUUUAAUCCUAUUUUGGCGCCCACAUACCGUUCCAUUCGGGGCGAAUCAGGACGGAAACGAACUUUUGGUGGAUUUUACUUUUCACUUGUCUAUUGGUCUUUUUUGAUCCCGCAAAUUCCAACACGAGGCAAGACGAAAGAGUAUACUCCACUACUAGUCCCAAAAGAGACAAAAGAAGAAAGGAUAUAUUGCACUACUAGUCCUUCAAUUUUUAAAUUCGACUUUCAGAACUCUGAACUUUCAACGAUGUUUCAUUUUCAAUUCUGAACUUUCAGCGAUGUUUUAUUUCAGAUCUCUUUCUAAGAAUAAAACUUAUUGGUUGUACCAAUAGGCAAUAGGCAUCAUAGACACGGACACAAACACGAAGUAUGGAACACGGCACUACUUGGACACCAUGACUAAACAGUUCCAAAAAAUUAAAACACAGACACGAGAUAGACACCACUAUUAUUAAUAUAAUAAUAUAUAUUUAUUAUAUAGAAAAUAUUAACUUUGUUAAAAUAUUAUUAUAUUUCUGAAUAAAAGUUAAUAAAAUUCUCAUUAAUAUUUGAGAAAAAAAAUUCUCCUUUAUACAUAAUUUAUUUAUAUUGUCCACAAAAAUUUAUAUGCAUUCACCAAAAUGCCAAAAUAUCCAUAAACUUCCAACAACAUUUUGGUUUAGGUCUCCUACUAGAAUAAAAUUUUUGUUUGUACCUGCUUCAUCUAUGGCUAUGUUUGUUUCGUUAAAAGUAGAGCUAGGUAAAGCUAUUUUCACCGCAAAUAUCCAUUUUCACUGCUUCAUUUAUUGCUAUUUCACCUUCCGUCAAAACUCAAACUCCCCAAAAUAGCAUAAUUACUUCAUUCCACCUCAAGCCUAAGUCAAUUACAGAAAAAAAAAAAAAAAAAAAAGGUAAGAUAAAAGAAUAAAAAAAUAUUAAUUUAACUCUCACACCUCUAACAUUUAUAUCAUUAACUUCCUGCUAUACAAAUAACAAAAAUGGAAGAACUCCAGUUUCACAACUAUACAAACAGACACCAAAAAAUAUAAUAAUAAUUUUUACUUGAACUAUAAUUCACCCGUAAGUCUAGCUCAAUCUGAACUUCACCUUUGGUAAAACAAAUAAGCCCUAUAUGCCUGGAUGUCACGACUCUGUGACAUCCCAAUAGUCUCAUUUCGAAUAAGAAUAAGAUUGCGAUUAGACAUACCAGACAUCAUGAAGAUUAGUAAUAAUAAUUAAAUUUAAGUACUUUAAGCAAAUGGUUUGAGCCCAACAAGUAAUUAUUACUAGCAAGUCGAGUCAUUACAGACUCAAUGUUGUGCAGUUCAUCGAUUUUAUACUUCCAAUUUUCACUCAGCUUCUUUUACUA
rnacentral:lncRNA from 1 species